CAAUAGCGUAUAUUUAAGUUGUUGCAGUUAAAAAGCUCGUAGUUGGAUUUCGGUUAAGAGCGACCGGUCCGCCGUUUGGUGUGCACUGGUUGGUUUUAACUUCCUGUAGAGGACGUGCUCUGGGUUUAACGACCUGGACUCGGAGUCUACGUGGUUACUUUGAAAAAAUUAGAGUGUUCAAAGCGGGCUUACGCUUGAAUAUUUCAGCAUGGAAUAACACUAUAGGACUCCUGUCCUAUUUCGUUGGUCUCGGGACGGGAGUAAUGAUUAAGAGGAACAGUUGGGGGCAUUCGUAUUUCAUUGUCAGAGGUGAAAUUCUUGGAUUUAUGAGAGACGAACUUCUGCGAAAGCAUUUGCCAAGGAUGUUUUCAUUAA
rnacentral:rRNA from 1 species